AACACUUAGGACACUUUCUCAGUGCGUUCCCCAGUGGAAUGAAAGUGGCUCAAGAGGAAACACUGUGUCUAUAGGCUCACCAUUGUGCCUUCCAUACCCAUCCUGCUGCCUGGCACCUGGUAGGAACUCAAGAAAUGCUUAAAGAAGAAAAGUAAUGAAUGAAAGUGGUCAGAGAUUCCUCACUGGUCAAAAAUGAAAAAUUCGCUAUUCAGAUACAAAGAUACAGUUACAUAGACAUCUCAGAAGCAUGGAAAUAUUUAAUUGGAUGAAUAAAGAGAUCUAGAAAAAUAUUAUCUGAUUUUGACAAAAGAAGAAAGGUGAGAAAGGCAGGGAAACUCCAGAAAAUUGAUGCUAACAGGGGCCUCAAAAAAGUUUUCAGUUUUGAGACUCGAACUGGCUCUUCUUGCUCCUCAAGCUUGCAGACAGCCUAUUGCGAGACCUUGAGAUCAUCUUGGAUGGUAAACUCACCUGGUGAUGUUUUCAAGAUGGCUGCCUAA
rnacentral:lncRNA from 13 species